rnacentral:rRNA from 1 species
GACAGAGGUGCCAAGCGUUAGGCGGAAUCACUGGGCUUAAAGCGUGUGUAGGCGGAUCGUUAAGUACCUUGUGAAAUCCCACGGCUCAACCGUGGAACUGCUCGGUAUACUGGCGGUCUUGAGCCACCUAGGGGCAUCUGGAACUAGCGGUGGAGCGGUGAAAUGCGUUGAUAUCGCUAGGAACUCCGGUGGCGAAGGCGAGGUGCUGGACCCUUUCUGACGCUGAGGCGCGAAAGCCAGGGGAGCGAACGGG